UGGAUGAGGUCGUCGACCUUUGCACUUCUCGCGUGUUCGCCCGUGUCGAGGCCUCGAAGCGUGUGUCGAGUAAUCAAGGAUGAUUUUUGUGAAACGCGUAUCGAGGAUUGUGUUGUUGACGUUCGAAGUCUCGCGAGCUAGCCAAACCCCUCACGUGCACUUGUCUUGUGUGUUUGCUUGCAAUAUAUUCGACCUUCUGUUUUUUGCGAUAGAACCAGCGAGGUAGAGAAGAUGUCCCCCUGUCUGGGAACACUUUGAGCUGAUCUCUCCUAAUAAGGUGAAGUGUCUGUUGUGUUUACAAGAACUCGGAUACAACCAUACCACCUCGUCCAAGCUGAGGCAUUAUAGAGCGCUGCAUGAGAACAUGGAGACCGACCGAGGUGGACCAAGCUCAGGUCUGAAGAAUGAUGUGGAGGAGGCCUUGAUGAAUAUGGGGAUUGAGGAUUCUCAGCCCUUCACUAUUGUGGAGGACAAAGGGGUUCACAAACUGUGUGACGCAUACUUUAAAUUUACUCAUAAAAGAGGCUCUUCAGCAAAACGCUGUGUUGUCUGACAUCCGGGCUAACUCUAGGAAGAUGGUGGGCUAUUUCCAGAGCAGCACCACAGUGAAGGAGAAGCUGACACAGGUGCAGGAGCGAAUGGGCCGGCCGGUACUGAAGCUUAUUCAAGAGGUGGAUACACGCUGGAACAGCACAUACCACAUGCUCCAGUGUGUGUAUGACCUCAGGGAACCUGUAGGAGCAGCUUUGGCCGGCCUAUGCACUGAUGUUGCCCCACGGUCAUCAGAGCACUAGGCAAUUAUGGCAGAAUAGCUGUCAGAGGAGAAGAGUGUCUGGAUCAAAGGUCCUUCCCCUUUUAUCCAGCUACACCACUCCCUAGAGGAGGAGGAAUGGGGAGUUGUCCAGACUCCAGAGAGAACAGAAAUGGCUGAGAGUCUGAGGAAACAUUUAAGGGAGAAGCUGUACACUUUACAAUCAAUGAGCAUCGUGUCCCUGGUGACUCUUCUCGAUCCAAGAUUAAAAGAGAUAGGCUUCUUUAGCGCUAAUAAAGAUGCCGUGACAAGGCUCACUAUUGGAUGUGCUGCUGUUAUUGGAAACAGUGCGUCCUCCUCAUCACAACCACACACAUCAGAAUCUUCUCAGCCUGUGACUCAAGGUAAUGGAUCCUGGAUACAUUCUAAUUGUGUUAUUGUAUUGAGUCACUUACAGCCGGUUUGUCUGUCUUGGGUAGCACAAAUGUCACGACUGACGCAAAAGGAGAGGUCCAGCUGUACCUGGCUGAACCAGACAUAGGAAAAAUGGAGAAUCCCCGAGACUAUAGUAAACAAAAAAGAAUUUAUUUCCUAACUUGUACAAACUUGCGGUAGCUUUUCUUUGUACCCCAGCUUCAUCUGUGCCCUGUGAAAGGAUCUUGUCUAAAGCAGGCGAAAUUAUUUCUAAAAAAAAAGAAACCGCCUGAAACCCAGCACUGUUUAAAAGCUCUGGUUUUUAAAUAAAAAUGAAUAAACUG